rnacentral:lncRNA from 1 species
UGAGAAGGCCCAGAGACGUGCCUUCCUCUUCUUUCCAGGGUCCUGGCCUGUCUUGUCUGUUGGGCGGGUAUGCUUCCUUCCUGGCCUUCCUUGUGGAGCAUGUCUGGGAGUGUGCUAGGAAAUGAGGGAGGAAAAUAUGUAACUUGAUAUCUGCUCCUUGACCCUGGCUGACCUGGUUAACUCUCUCCAGGAUGGAAGCAAAGCCUGCCCGGGAAACCUUCCAUUGCAGGAACAUCUCGGCCUGAAGCUGUCAUCAGGGAGCAGGAUCUGCUUCCCGGACUCUGAGCAGAACAAUGGGAGCCCCAGCAGGCUGGCGAGGCUGACAAGCCCUAGGACGGUGACCUCUCCGAUCUCCAGAUCGGAAACUCAGAAACGUGUAAGUGCCAGAAUCCGCAUUUGGGAAUCUGUUAUUUCUCCCUCUGCGAGUCAACCUGAUCACCCUGGAAGCCUCACUGUCUCUCAGCCCUUGUUCCCAUUUUUCUUUCCAUGAACACCGCAAUCAGAUACGAGAUUCCAGUAAUGAUGGUUCUUGAAAAUUAAACAAAUCAAAAAGAAAGCCAGCCAAGGUAUGGAGUGGGGGACCUCUAAGUUCCCCUGGAGGAGACACUGGGGCCAGGUUCCGAGGUGCAUUCGGAGCCAGAAUCCCUAAUGGAAUUGAACAAUUAUCCUGAAGCUGCUCUCUGAAAGCCGCGGUUUUCCUAAAACACUGUGCUUGGCGUGCCUGGGCUUCUUGGCACUGGCCCAUGACCCACAGCAGCAAAUCGUUCCCAGGAAGCUAUUGUUAUUUGUGUAUCUGAUAGCAUUCAGCUGAGUACACUGACAGCAACAUUUAGAAAGGAAAAGAAAAAAGAAGCGUAGAGUGAAAAGGACAAAAAGGAGGCUUCCAACAUCCUGGUGGGAACAGAAAACCAGCAAAGCCUCUUUUCCAGCCCUUAUCCUUGUGAGUUUGGACUCUGCAGAACUGUCAUCCCCCAGGCAUAGCUGCAGCUUGUAUGAAGGUGGGCAUCAGGCGCGGAGAUUCAGGACAGUGUGCACCUGCUUUCCUCCAACGGGACCCCCUCUGUUCUUCCCAGGAAUGCCUGUAAACUGCCACUGCCUCUAGGGGCUGCACCAAGUCCCUGUGUACUCCCAGGACACAAUGGAGUGGAAUGGAGUGGCUCUGUUCUGUCAGGGCCUAACAUUCCAAAUGAAUUCAUUCCCUUCUGGGAAAAAAGAACCACCUUGCUCAGAGCACAAUGUUCCCAUGUCUUGGCUUACCUUGAAGCAUUUUUGAUACACCUGUUGGGACAAUGCGUUCUGCCAAGAGAAGGGAAGUAGCAUACUUUGUUCUAUUUUUUACUCUCAAUGGGCUACGUUUCCAUUGUGUUGGUUUCCCUUACAGAAAGUAACACACACAGAAGAGAAGGUUAUAGGAUUCCAUGCUGCUUGGCAAAGGCACAAAAUAUGUGCACAUAUUUACAUGGAAUAUGAGGGUAAACUAGAAAAUUAAGGGUAAUCUAAAAUAGAAAAAAAGAAGAAAACAAUAAGUUAAAAGUAUGAAAAGACAUCCAGAAUGAGCAAGUUACUGAGGUUGUGCCUCAACUUUAGCUUGAGUUUCCUGGCAGCAAAGGUAAAAAGAAAGAGCACAGUGGCUGCAGCACAGAGCGUGAAUUGAGGGGAGCAAGACUGGCCACGGCGAGAAGGCAACACGCAGGUGAUCUUACAGCUGGAAAAUCAGUGGGUGAAAACGGAGAUACAGCAACUCUGUCUUGGACUACACCUUAACUGAAGACGUCUAUGUAGGUGACGAAAACUCAUGGAAGGACUUGCCACAAUUCAAACAUGGGCUUUUGGGGUUUCUGAGACCAACAGAACCACCAUAUACUUUGUGGGUGUAGGGAUUCUCCCUGCAUGUUGAGCCUGUCACCCUAAUGACAACCAGCUUUGCAUUAACUAGAGUCAGCCCCAAAAAUGCAUCUGUUACUCCAGAGAAGGACAAAUCCUUAUUAUUACUUUAUAGGAUUUUCUCUACUAGGGGCUUCCAUAAAGUAAACAUGCUUUCAGGAAAUUAACAGAGUAAUUUUAAGCCAAAAUCCAUAGCAUUAAAAACAAAUAAACCCCAAAUGAUAGCAAUGUAUUUGGGGGGAAAAAAGCAUGUAAUCAACUGCCUGCAUAAUUUAAACUACCAAAGCUUUGAAGCUCCUUAACAUCACCAUCACCUCCCUUUUAGACACUGUCACCCAGUAGAAGAAAUUCACAGCCCUGCUGCUCUAAUGAGUAUGUUUCAGUAAACACAGAAGAAAUCAUUUUCACAGCCCCCAUGCAUUUCUCAGCAAGCACUCAAAUCUUUCAAACCCAUUCCAGGGGGAAGUUUCCAUCCCAAUCUUUUCCCUCAUAUUUCAUCUCUAAGAGCACCCCUCCCCCAUCUGAGAUCCACAAGUUACAAAAAUUACUGUUUCAGGUUUCUCAUCAUUAUCUGUUAAAAAACUAAAAUUACAGAUGAGAUAGUAUUCUACAGUCCCAGGAACUCCAACUGUUCAGGAAACGUGAGUAACAGAAGUAACGCGGUAUACAAUGAAAACAAACAUCUUCCUGUCUUUGGAGCAACUGAGAAGCAAAC